rfam:Hammondia hammondi strain H.H.34 contig00346, whole genome shotgun sequence.
CUUUAGGCUUCUCUAGAAGCCACCAUUCGUAACCUCAAAGACUAG